rnacentral:tRNA from 9 species
GGAUGGGUGGCCGAGCGGUCGAAGGCGCACGCCUGGAAAGUGUGUAUACCUCAAAAGGGUAUCGUGGGUUCGAAUCCCACCCCAUCCGCCA